AGAGUUUGAUCCUGGCUCAGAACGAACGCUGGCGGCGUGCCUAACACAUGCAAGUCGUACGAGAAAAUCCGCUUCGGCGGGUGAGUAGAGUGGCGCACGGGUGAGUAACGCGUGGAUAAUCUGCCUUUAAGCUGGGAAUAACUCACCGAAAGGUGGGCUAAUACCCGAUAAUGCUAUGGGACUUCGGUUUUAUAGCCAAAGAGAGCCUCUACAUGUAAGCCUUCACUUAAAGAUGAGUCCGCGUACCAUUAGCUAGUUGGUAGGGUAAUGGCCUACCAAGGCGACGAUGGUUAGCUGGUCUGAGAGGAUGAUCAGCCACACUGGAACUGAGACACGGUCCAGACUCCUACGGGAGGCAGCAGUGAGGAAUAUUGCGCAAUGGGGGCAACCCUGACGCAGCAACGCCGCGUGAGUGAGGAAGGUCUUCGGAUCGUAAAGCUCUGUCGGGUGGGAAGAAGUGUGCAUAGGUUAAUAGCUUGUGCACUUGACGGUACCGCCAAAGGAAGCACCGGCUAACUCCGUGCCAGCAGCCGCGGUAAUACGGGGGGUGCGAGCGUUGUUCGGAAUCAUUGGGCGUAAAGAGCGUGUAGGCGGCUAGGCAAGUCAGAUGUGAAAUCCCUGGGCUUAACCCAGGAAGUGCAUUUGAAACUGCUUAGCUUGAGUAAGGAAGGGGGAAGUGGAAUUCCUGGUGUAGAGGUGAAAUUCGUAGAUAUCAGGAGGAACACCGGUGGCGAAGGCGACUUCCUGGUCCUAUACUGACGCUGAGACGCGAGAGCGUGGGGAGCAAACAGGAUUAGAUACCCUGGUAGUCCACGCCGUAAACGAUG
rnacentral:rRNA from 1 species